rnacentral:lncRNA from 1 species
GGCGAUCCCAGGUUCAGAAGAUAUAAAAUGAUGAAUCAUUCGUUCAACACAGUCAGUGUGAUAUAAUGUAUCAGAAUCUGAGUAGGAAGGUAUCAGCAAACCAUCAAGGGACGCUAGGUCCAAUUGCAUUCCUAUUCUCCUCUCCAGCGAGUCCUGGCAUGUGUGGUUCACACCAAGAAUCAACGCAACUCGCAGAAGUCCCAACAAGAAACGGCAAAAUGAUUUUCCCUUCAAUUCAGGAAGCAGUUUCACAACAAUAAGGCAUUCCUAUUCUCCUCUCCAGCGAGUCCUGGCAUGUGUGGUUCACACCAAGAAUCAACGCAACUCGCAGAAGUCCCAACAAGAAGCGGCAAAAAGAUUUUCCCUUCAAUUCAGGAAGCAGUUUCACAACACUUUCUAGAAGAAC